rnacentral:rRNA from 1 species
GCCACUGCUAUUGGGGUUCGGCUAAGCCAUGCGAGUGGAGGGCGUCCCGCAAGGGAUGGCCCCGCAGACGGCUCAGUAACACGUCGUCAACCCACCUUAGGGUGGGGGACAACCUCGGGAAACUGAGGAUAAUCCCCCAUGGGCGGGGGAGGCUAGAAUGCGCCCCCGCUGAAAGCUCAGGCGCCCUAGGACGGGACGGCGGCCUAUCAGGUAGUUGGUGGUGUGACG